UACGGGGGGAGCAAGCGUUGUUCGGAUUUACUGGGCGUAAAGGGCGCGUAGGCGGUCAGCACAAGUCAGUUGUGAAAUCUCCGGGCUUAACUCGGAAAGGUCAACUGAUACUGUGCGACUAGAGUGCAGAAGGGGCAACUGGAAUUCUCGGUGUAGCGGUGAAAUGCGUAGAUAUCGAGAGGAACACCAGUGGCGAAGGCGGCUCACUGGCCCGAUACUGACGCUGAGGCACGAAAGCGUGGGGAGCAAACAGG
rnacentral:rRNA from 1 species